rnacentral:rRNA from 1 species
GGGGGGGGGGGGGGGGGGGCCGGGGGGGGGGGGGGCGGGCGAGGGGGUCGGGUGGAGUGGCGCACGGGUGCGUAGCGGGUGGGAACCUGCCCUUAGGGUCGGAAUAACUCCCCGAAAGGGGUGCUAAUACCGGAGAAUGUCUUCGGACCAAAGAUUUAUCGCCUUUGGAUGGGCCCGCGUUGGAUUAGCUAGUUGGUAGGGUAAAAGCCUACCAAGGCGACGAUCCAUAGCUGGUCUGAGAGGAUGAUCAGCCACACUGGGACUGAGACACGGCCCAGACUCCUACGGGAGGCAGCAGUGGGGAAUAUUGGACAAUGGGCGAAAGCCUGAUCCAGCAAUGCCGCGUGAGUGAUGAAGGCCUUAGGGUUGUAAAGCUCUUUUACCCGGGAUGAUAAUGACAGUACCGGGAGAAUAAGCUCCGGCUAACUCCGUG